rnacentral:rRNA from 1 species
GAUGAACGCUCGCUACAGGCUUAACACAUGCAAGUCGAGGGGAAACGCCAUCGAAAGCUUGCUUUUGAUGGGCGUCGACCGGCGCACGGGUGAGUAACGCGUAUCCAACCUGCCCAUCACUUGGGAAUAACCUCGCGAAAGUAAGACUAAUACCCAAUGAUAUCCCACGAAGGCAUCGGAAUGGGAUUAAAGAUUUAUCGGUGAUGGAUGGGGAUGCGUCUGAUUAGCUUGUUGGCGGGGUAACGGCCCACCAAGGCAACGAUCAGUAGGGGUUCUGAGAGGAAGGUCCCCCACAUUGGAACUGAGACACGGUCCAAACUCCUACGGGAGGCAGCAGUGAGGAAUAUUGGUCAAUGGGCGAGAGCCUGAACCAGCCAAGUAGCGUGCAGGAAGACGGCCCUAUGGGUUGUAAACUGCUUUUAUAAGGGAAUAAAGUGGGUCACGUGUGACUUUUUGCAUGUACCUUAUGAAUAAGGACCGGCUAAUUCCGUG